rnacentral:ribozyme from 1 species
GUGGCCGGCAUGGUCCCAGCCUCCUCGCUGGCGCCGGCUGGGCAACAUUCCGAGGGGACCGUCCUCCUCGGUAAUGGCGAAUGGGACCCA